GACGAACGCUGGCGGCGUGUUUAACACAUGCAAGUCGAACGGAAAGGCCCUGCUUUUGUGGGGUGCUCGAGUGGCGAACGGGUGCGUAACACGUGAGUAACCUGCCCUUGACUUUGGGAUAACUUCAGGAAACUGGGGCUAAUACCGGAUAGGAGCUCCUGCUGCAUUGUGGGGGUUGGAAAGUUUCGGCGGGUGGGGAUGGACUCGCGGCUUAUCAGCUUGUUGGUGGGGUAGUGGCUUACCAAGCCUUUGACGGGUAGCCGGCCUGAGAGGGUGACCGGCCACAGUGGGACUGAGAGACGGCGCAGACUCCUACGGGAGGCAGCAGGGGGGAAUAUUGCACAAUGGGCGGAAGCCGGAUGCAGCAACGCCGCGUGCGGGAUGACGGCCUGCGGGUUGUAAACCGCUUUCGCCUGUGACGAAGCGUGAGUGACGGUAAUGGGUAAAGAAGCACCGGCUAACUACGUG
rnacentral:rRNA from 1 species